AUUGAACGCUGGCGGCAUGCCUUACACAUGCAAGUCGAACGGCAGCACGGGUGCUUGCACCUGGUGGCGAGUGGCGAACGGGUGAGUAAUAUAUCGGAACGUACCUUAUUGUGGGGGAUAACGCAGCGAAAGCUGUGCUAAUACCGCAUAAUCCCUAAGGGGGAAAGCGGGGGACCGUAAGGCCUCGCGCAAUUAGAGCGGCCGAUACCUGAUUAGCUAGUUGGUGAGGUAAAGGCUCACCAAGGCAGCGAUCAGUAGCUGGCCUGAGAGGACGAUCAGCCACACUGGGGCUGAGACACUGGCCAGACUCCGGCGUGAGGCAGAAGUGGGGAAUUUUGGACAAUGAGGGCAAUCCUGAUCCAGCAAUGCCGCGUGAGUGAAGAAGGCCUUCGGGUUGUAAAGCUCUUUUGUCAGGGAAGAAGCAGCAGCUAUAACACAGUUUGCGAAUGACGGUACCUGAAGAAUAAGCACCGGCUAACUACGUUCCAGCAGCCGCAGUAA
rnacentral:rRNA from 1 species